rnacentral:lncRNA from 1 species
UGGACAAUCAGCAAGGAGAAGAAUCUAUCUCAGAGGAGGUGCAGAGGCAGCCACAAGAAAUAGACUUACAGGACGAUGAAGGGGAGUGGCACUGCACAAACCGAAACGCAUUGUUCGCAAGCCAGUGCGAUAUGGCAUUGAUGAAACUAUCUCUUAUGCUCUCAUCACUACUAAUAGAGAUCCAUAGACCUUUGAGGAGGCC